rnacentral:lncRNA from 1 species
GGGUGGUUAAGGAUGAUGGUAUUUAUCUUCGUCAAGUUUGGAAGAACACCGACGUUUUGUGGAAACCAUGGCCUUGAAGGGAAUUGAUUGGCUAUCACAUAUUAUGAAUUUUCAUCUAUGUUCUUUUUGUUAUUUUUUCCCUUGCUAGUUCAUGGAUCAAACUCAGAAUUGUUUUGUUUAUUUAACUAUUCUCCAUAAAAAAUCAAACUAGACUGGAGGUGGAUCCUUCUGGUCCGACAUUAUACUAAUAAAUUUUGCUUAUUUUGUGACGAUAUAUGUUCUUUCA